GACGAACGCUGGCGGCGUGCUUAACACAUGCAAGUCGAGCGAAUGGAUUAAGAGCUCGCUCUUAUGAAGUUAGCGGCGGACGGGUGAGUAACACGUGGGUAACCUGCCCAUAAGACUGGGAUAACUCCGGGAAACCGGGGCUAAUACCGGAUAGCAUUUUGAACCGCAUGGUUCGAAAUUGAAAGGCGGCUUCGGCUGUCACUUAUGGAUGGACCCGCGUCGCAUUAGCUAGUUGGUGAGGUAACGGCUCACCAAGGCAACGAUGCGUAGCCGACCUGAGAGGGUGAUCGGCCACACUGGGACUGAGACACGGCCCAGACUCCUACGGGAGGCAGCAGUAGGGAAUCUUCCGCAAUGGACGAAAGUCUGACGGAGCAACGCCGCGUGAGUGAUGAAGGCUUUCGGGUCGUAAAACUCUGUUGUUAGGGAAGAACAAGUGCUAGUUGAAUAAGCUGGCACCUUGACGGUACCUAACCAGAAAGCCACGGCUAACUACGUGCCAGCCGCCGCAGUAA
rnacentral:rRNA from 1 species